CCUACGGGACGCAGCAGUCGAGAAUCAUUCACAAUGGGGGAAACCCUGAUGGUGCGACGCCGCGUGGGGGAAUGAAGGUCUUCGGAUUGUAAACCCCUGUCAUGUGGGAGCAAAUUAAAAAGAUAGUACCACAAGAGGAAGAGACUGCUAACUCUGUGCCAGCAGCCGCGGUAAUACAGAGGGCUCAAACGUUGUUCGGAAUCACUGGGCGUAAAGCGUGCGGGGGCUGUUUCGUAAGUCGUGUGUGAACGGCGCGGGCGCAACCCGCGGACGGCACAUGAUACUGCGAGACUAGAGUGAGGGAGGGGGAACCGGAAUUCUCGGUGUAGCAGUGAAAUGCGUAGAUAUCGAGAGGAACACUCGUGGCGAAGGCGGGUUCCUGGACAUUAACUGACGCUGAGGCACGAAGGCCAGGGGAGCGAAAGGGAUUAGAUACCCCAGUAGUC
rnacentral:rRNA from 1 species